AUAUACAUAAAUAGUGAUGACGCAAUCACACACCGAGAAGAUCCCAAGGAGGCUGUAGCCUAUGUUGGUCAGAUACAAGGGCCAGGCCAUUUCGUUUGGCCACUGGCUGGAAUAGUAUGGCAUCAGGAGAAGGUUUAAGAGAUGGUAGAGUGCCCAAAAUGACGUCCAUACCGGGUAGAAAUACCUAGGUCCGUGCUAAAAGUCAAUAAUCGCAAGACGGUAGAGACGAUGUCCGAUCUACGCGCUAAAAGAGAAAGAUCGUGACUAAGCAGAACAAUUAUGAAUACAUCAUCUUGUAAAAUCAUGAAGUAUAUAAUUCGUGUGUAAUAAACAUAGUCAUAUUUUUA